CGUACGAAAGGGCAACACCAUUGAAAAAUGGUCUCGCAAAACUAUAGGGGCUAACGUUUUUUGAAACUAUGCCAGCCAGGUGCCGAA
rnacentral:ncRNA from 1 species